UACGGAGGGUGCAAGCGUUAUCCGGAUUCACUGGGUUUAAAGGGUGCGUAGGUGGGUUGGUAAGUCAGUGGUGAAAUCUCCGAGCUUAACUUGGAAACUGCCAUUGAUACUAUCAGUCUUGAAUAUUGUGGAGGUCAGCGGAAUAUGUCAUGUAGCGGUGAAAUGCUUAGAUAUGACAUAGAACACCAAUUGCGAAGGCAGCUGGCUACGCAUAUAUUGACACUGAGGCGCGAAAGCGUGGGGAGCAAACAGG
rnacentral:rRNA from 1 species